GGAUGCGAUCAUACCAGCACUGAAGCACAGGAUCCCAUCAAAACUCCGAAGUUAAGCGUGCCUGGGCGAGAGUAGUACUAGGAUGGGUGACCUCCUCGGAAGUCCUCGUGUUGCAUUCC
rnacentral:rRNA from 1 species